UGGGACCUGGGCACCUGGACUUCAUGGGUGAGUGACGCCAAAGCUUCAAAAACCAUCCUCAAGUCCGCCCAUGUAAUCAGAGCUAUGACAGGGAUGGAAUCUAGCAGCUUCGCCAGCUUCCUCAAGCUUGGUGAGCCCAGAACCAAAGGAGGCCAGGCUCUGUUUACAUUGGCAAAGCUGGAAGGUUCAAGAGAUACCUUAUAUGCACACAGAUUCCACCUAUUGUGGCAGUUGACUCUCAAACAUGAACCCUGAGCUUACACUCAUUUUGCAUCCUGACUAUUACAAGGAAAUUCUUCAGGACAUCCAAUGUGUCUUACUGUUGCUUCAAAGGACCUCCAAAAUAAGCCGCCUUGACCCCAAAGCAGGGGAAGUUGGGAUGGUCUGUCGGAUUUCUCACCAGUCCACACCGCCUUCCCACCCACUGUCCUCCCCUGGUCUCUGUCUUGAUGACUCUACAGAUGCAUCUGAGAAGGCUUCUGUAGAACGACUCAUCGGAUGUGUGAUGACCUUGGCAAGAAAAGCUGAAGCAAAGCCAGAAGCCUCCUGGCUUGGUCUGAGGUGCCUGCACUAAGCAUCGUGUCCUUUCUUCCUCCCACCUCUCAGCUCACAGCUCCCUAGACUUGGCUUCCAUCAUAUCAACUAGUUCCACUGAUGUCAUCAAUGACCUAAGCCACUAAACUUACCUGGUACCCUACUCAGGAUAAAAUUGAACUCCUGGUGUGGUCUGUGGCAUCCUGGCUUCCUGCGCGUCAGUAUAUUAG